rfam:Ictidomys tridecemlineatus contig007179, whole genome shotgun sequence.
GGGGUUGUAGCUUAGUGGUAGAGCGCUUACCUAGCAUGUUGGAGGCACUGGGUUCGAUUCUCAGCACCA